CUACAACAGCGCGUCCACCAAAAACUCAAUGUUGUUACCAUGAAAAACCCAGAAAAUGCAUGCUGGAAGACGCGUAUGACGUCAAAAACGUCACAGGGUAUAAAUACCAAGGCCCUCCCCUUCCAGUUCAUUCCUGGAUUUGUUCUGAGGUAUUUUGUCUGAAGAGUGGCCGUCGAGGAAUUUGAAUACCUAAUAAAAAACGUUUUCUUCAAUUAAUUGACAUUUCAUUACUAGUUUUGCCUCCAGUUUGUUCGUCGGAAUAGCUUUAUUUUAGCUGCCACAACCCCGCCCAAACAUUGUCAGUAGAAUGGCCUGUACUGAAGAACUCAGUGACUUUCAACGUGGCACCGUCAUAGGAUGCCACCUUUCCAACAAGUCAGUAAGUCAAAUUUCUGCACAGCUAGAACUGCCCAGGUCAACUGUGAGUGCUGUUAUUGUGGAGUGGAAACGUCUGGGAGCAACAACUGCUGAGCCUCGAAGUGGUAAGCCACACAAGCUCACAGAACGGGACCGGCAAGUGCUGUAGCGUGAAGAUAAUGUCUGUCCUCUGUUGCAACACACUACAGAGUUCCAAACUGCCUCUGAAAGCAACAUCACCACGAAUGUUUGUUGGGAGCUUAAUGAAAUGGGUUUCCAUGGCCAACCAGCCUCACACAAGCCUAAGAUCACCAUGCCAAGCGUCUGCUGGAGUGGUGUAAGCCAGAUAGACUUUGAGGACUACAAACAGGUUCUGGAAACACUGGGGGAGACCCUGGUCCACAAGGUCAAAGAGUGACCUACCUACUGCAGAACCAGGGCUCUAUUGGCACUAUAUUCCCUGUACUGUACCAUUUCUCACCAGAGCACUAUGGGCCCUGGUCAAAUGUACUGCACUAUGUAGGGAAUAGAGUUCCAACAGACCCAGGAGGAAAUAGAAAUGUAAUGCAAAAUAACCUACCGCUGAAGCUGGCUAUGUCAUUAGCUCAGUGCAUCUCGAUAGUCUAACGUGGCUUUGUUUCCUUGUCUCACCUCACCUAUUUGAAUAGGCAUCAUGGCUUAAGUCUCUCCCAAAUCAGUUUAUUUGAAGAAAGGUGUGGCGAGGAAGUCACGUUAAGAGUAUUGAGAAUACACCCCUGGUGUACUGCAGUAUCCUCUCGGCCUAUGAGAUGUAUACAUUUUCUUGAGUCCAAUUUGCCACCUUGCCCCCCUCCACACAACUGUAUAUCUGAAAAGAUAGGGUGUGAUUUGGAAUUCAGAAUUUGACUGGACAAGUGGGCAUGUCUCACCCAGGUGACAAUGGGACAGAAAGAAAGCAAUAUGCUGAAGUAUUUCUAUUAUAGAGGAAAUGGCAAUACAUUACCAGUGGAACCACACAUGUAGAAACCAGGCUCUUAUUACCUGGGAAUAAACAUGUUGACACCUGUAUGAUUAAGUAUUUACUACAGACAAAAAGGAAAUUAAAUAAAUUGAUUUUGCAAUGUCUUUAUUUAUUUAUUACAAUGUCUUUGUUGUACAACUUGUCUCUGAAUACAACUGAGCAGAUUAGACAGAUUUCUCAUCAAUGGUCCAUAUGGUAAGUAGCAUGUACUGUACAUGAGCUGAUAAUUCACUUAUCAGUCAUCCUGUUGCCUAGUCACUUUACCUCUCCCAAUAUAUAUAAAUAAAUACACACACAUCUCCGAGUGGCACAGCGGUCUAAGGCACUGCAUUUCAGUGCUAGAGGUGUCACUACAGACCCUGGUUCGAUUCCAAGCUGUAUUACAACUAGCCGUGAUUGGGAGUCCCAUAGGGCAACGCACAAUUGGUCCAGCGUGGUUAGGGGUUUUCCGGGGUAGGCUGUCAUUGUUAAUAAACAUUUGUUCUUAACUGACUUGUCUAAUUAAGGGUUAAAUAAAAAAUAU